rnacentral:rRNA from 1 species
GAUGAACGCUGGCGGCGUGCCUAAUACAUGCAAGUCGAGCGAAUGGAUUAAGAGCUUGCUCUUAUGAAGUUAGCGGCGGACGGGUGAGUAACACGUGGGUAACCUGCCCAUAAGACUGGGAUAACUCCGGGAAACCGGGGCUAAUACCGGAUAACAUUUUGAACCGCAUGGUUCGAAAUUGAAAGGCGUCUUCGGCUUGCACUAAUGGAUGGACCCGCGUCGCAUUAGCUAGUUGGUGAGGUAACGGCUCACCAAGGCAACGAUGCGUAGCCGACCUGAGAGGGUGAUCGGCCACACUGGGACUGAGACACGGCCCAGACUCCUACGGGAGGCAGCAGUAGGGAAUCUUCCGCAAUGGACGAAAGUCUGACGGAGCAACGCCGCGUGAGUGAUGAAGGCUUUCGGGUCGUAAAACUCUGUUGUUAGGGAAGAACAAGUGCUAGUUGAAUAAGCUGGCACCUUGACGGUACCUAACCAGAAAGCCACGGCUAACUACGUGCCAGCCGCCGCCGUAA